rnacentral:lncRNA from 1 species
CUGGGUCUCACCUUGUGCCCUUAUAGGGCCAACUUCUUGGAAUGAAAUAUAUUUGUGCCCCCUCAGAUAUUUGGGGUGCAUGAGGCGACUGAACCUUUGUAUAGCUAACACAAGCUCUGUCAAGAAGAAGUGAAGACUACUUUUUGACAAGGGAAUUUUCACUGUGUAUGGUUAUGUAUUUGGCUCUGGUACGAGACUUUUUGUGACAGACAAUAACGUACGAAAACCCAAAGUGACGGUCUACUCAGAGUCCAACCCUGAGUCGAAUGUGAACACCCUGCUAUGUCUGGCUGGAGACAUGUUUCCAGACUUGGUCAAGAUCUCAUGGAAGAUGGAGGAUGAAAACGGCAGAGCAGUCGAGGUGCCUAAAGCAGAGGGGGAACAACUGGAGCAGAGGGAGGAAGGACAGACGACCAGUAUGAUCAUCACUGAUAAAGAGAAGAUUUACAGGAACAAAUACAUCUGUUCUGUGGAGCAUGAAGGGGGCCCUCAAGAUGUUUACAUGCUAAAAGAUCAACCAACUGAAGCUCCGCCAACCACCGUGGCUGCACCAACCUGUUCGUUCAGAAAUGACACACAGCAGUCACAGUCUCUACAUCUUACCGAUGAUUCCUUCCAGUCAACGUUUAGUCUGAACCUGGCCUCUAUCCUUUACACAGUGAUGAUAGUGAAGAGCAUGGUGUACUGCUGUGGGCUCUCUAUCCUGCUGCACCACAGGAGCUUGGGAAGAGGACCCAGCACCUGUAGACACAUUUAUUGAAAGGAUACCCCCCCCCCAUUUAUGGAUAGAGUUGUAGUGGGCUGGGAGUAACAUGGAUUUUACAUGCCAUUGAGGUCUAACAUUUCAUUUGUAUUGCUUUUAUUUUUCCUGCUUUAUUUUUUAGAUGCUACAAUAUUGUGAGCCAUAGAUUUCCAUGUCUUCUAAUAGCUUCAACUGCCAAAUAUGACAAUUGCAGCACAUUUAAUUGUGUAUAUGGAGUAUUGUUUCCCUCCUUAUGUGGGAGCUACCCACUGCAGACACAUGAAUAAAGAUUAAGUUAAGGUUUUCUGAAAAAUAAGCAGAGCAAAUCUUGAAUGUAAAUACAUUAUGAUUUUAAUUUAGACUUGUUUUGUUAGUUGCCCUGCAAUAUGUCAUAGAGGUAGGCCUAAAUUAUACUCACAACCUGUAUUUAAUUUAUACAAAAUAUGUCAUUAUUAAAUAUGUAGGCCCAUGAGUUCUAAAUCAUUAUCCAAUAUAAUAUUUAGUAACUUGUCUUGAAGUGUAAUUUUUCUCAAGAAAUUACUUUGUUUCACAUCUCAAUAAAUGAAUAAGAGAAUCAAUUUUUGCUUUAAAUUCUAAAUGCUGAGUGCUUAUUGAGCAUAAAAAUUGGGCUAUGCGCAAAAUAAUUUAUUGGUGCUUUUGUACAUUAAUACAAUGUUUUUUUAUACAGCUUUUAUGAAGAGUAACACAGCCUGCUCAAAUGAACCAAGUUGCUCAAAAUAAUAAUAUCCUUUCAGAUGAGGAUGGAUUUAAUAAACGCAGCCUUUGUGAACGAAAAGUUACAACAAUGGUUCUGCAAAUGAUUGUAAAUAACUUUUUUACAGUUCCUUGCUAACCCCCCCCCCAAAAAAAACAUUGCAUUUCUUUACUAUAAGAUCAUCUAUUCAUAUUUGUGAAUGUUAUUUGAUUAAAUCUCAUCAGCAGCAGAACAAUAAAAUUGUAAGAUCCCCCAUUCUCUGUUUUCAACUUGUUUGCUUCAAUGUGCAUGUUCCAACACAGAUGUUGAGCCUAGACUCAAUAGUGGUGGGAAAAUGUGGUUAAUUUAUAUUUGGUUUUCUAAAGAAAUGUGAAACGGUACUUACUGGAAACAAGAUAUAGCUAGCUGCAUAACCACAGCUCGAGCGUGUGAUGAGUUGGUUAUCCAAAGCUGCUGGAUGAUUAGUUUUUAUCUUGAACCGUUUUCUGCUCUAUUUGUGGGUUCGGCUCCUGCCAUCAAAUUGAAGAAUAUGACAGCGAUGGCAGACAAAACGAGUCCAUAAUGGUAGCUUAUGGUUCUUUCAUUUGUAGAAUUAUAGCCCUAUGACAAAACAAGCUCUUACUUCUGUUUGUGUACUUUUUACCUUGAAACAAUCAAAUUAAAUGAAAUCAGAGUUGA